UCUAACCUAGAGAAAGGUCACAAGUAAGACAGGAGGAAGGGACUCUUCCCGAUUGAGGGGCAGGGGCGCAUGGCGAGGUCGUGGGCACAAGCCUGCUGUGAGUGUGCGUUAGCUGCAGGAGGAAGCUGAAGGCAGGAACUGUCUAGACAGAGCUGACCUUGAGAAAGGAAAAGGCCGUCACGGUGACUAGACCUGAAGGAGCCGUUGCAGUAGUGUGUAAGGACCAGCUCCAUGUGUCCUGGCCAGAACACUGAAUCCUGAAUCACAGAUCCUGAUUAUUCACUUGAAACCAAUGGAAAUCAUUGAAUUUGGGAAAAAACAAACAAAAGAAAACCUUUUGGAUUAUACUUAAAGAUGGUACUGAAAGAACAGGAAGAAGU